GACGAACGCUGGCGGCGUGCUUAACACAUGCAAGUCGAGCGGUAAGGCCCUUCGGGUACACGAGCGGCGAACGGGUGAGUAACACGUGGGUGACCUGCCUCUAGCUCUGGGAUAAGCCUGGGAAACUGGGUCUAAUACCGGAUAUGACUCCACGGCGCAUGUUGUGGGGUGGAAAGCCUUGUGUGGCUAGAGAUGGGCCCGCGGCCUAUCAGCUUGUUGGUGGGGGAUGGCCUACCAAGGCGACGACGGGUAGCCGGCCUGAGAGGGCGACCGGCCACACUGGGACUGAGACACGGCCCAGACUCCUACGGGAGGCAGCAGUGGGGAAUCUUGCGCAAUGGGCGAAAGCCUGACGCAGCGACGCCGCGUGAGGGAUGACGGCCUGGUGUAAC
rnacentral:rRNA from 1 species